AGACGUCUACAUUAGAUACCCGGGUAGUCCCAGCCGUAAACUAUGCGCGUUAGGUGUAUCGGUGACCACGAGUUACCCGAGGGUGCCGAAGGGAAACCGUGAAACGUGCCGCCUGGGAAGUACGGUCGCAAGGCUGAAACUUAAGGAAUUGGCGGGGGAGCACCACAACAGGUGGAGCCUGCGGUUUAAUUGGACUCAACGCCGGGAAGCUCACCGGAUAGGACAGCAGAAUGAUUGCCGGGCUGAAGACCCUGCAUGACUAGCUG
rnacentral:rRNA from 1 species